UACGUAGGGGGCGAGCGUUGUCCGGAAUCAUUGGGCGUAAAGAGCGUGUAGGCGGCUUGGCAAGUCUGACGUGAAAGCCCGCGGCUCAACCGCGGAUUGUCGUUGGAAACUGCCUCGCUAGAGUCCGGAAGAGGAGAGCGGAAUUCCUGGUGUAGCGGUGGAAUGCGCAGAUAUCAGGAGGAACACCAAUGGCGAAGGCAGCACUCUGGGACGUGACUGACGCUGAGACGCGAAAGCGUGGGGAGCGAACAGG
rnacentral:rRNA from 1 species